AGUUUGAUCAUGGCUCAGGAUGAACGCUGGCGGCGUGCUUAACACAUGCAAGUCGAACGUGAUCCAUUAGCAAUAGUGGUGAAAGUGGCGAACGGGUGAGUAACACGUAGGUAACCUGCCCUGAAGCGGGGGAUAACGGCUGGAAACGGUCGCUAAUACCGCAUGAGCCCAUUGAAUCGGGAGAGAGAUGGGGAAAAUCACGGUGCUUCAGGAGGGGCCUGCGUCCGAUUAGCUAGUUGGUGAGGUAACGGCUCACCAAGGCGACGAUCGGUAGCUGGUCUGAGAGGACGAUCAGCCACACGGGAACUGAGACACGGUCCCGACUCCUACGGGGGGCAGCAGUGAGGAAUAUUGGGCAAUGGGCGGAAGCCUGACCCAGCAACGCCGCGUGGAGGAUGAAGGCCUUCGGGUCGUAAACUCCUUUUGACGGGGAAGAGGAAGGACGGUACCCGUCGAAUAAGUCACGGCUAACUACGUGCCAGCAGCCGCGGUAAUACGUAGGUGACAAGCGUUAUCCGGAAUUACUGGGCGUAAAGCGCACGCAGGCGGCUGCUUAAGUCUGACGUAAAAUCUCCUGGCUUAACUGGGAGGGGUCGUUGGAAACUGAGUAGCUUGAGGCAGUGAGAGGGGUGUAGAAUUCCCGGUGUAGUGGUGGAAUGCGUAGAUAUCGGGAGGAAUACCAGAGGCGAAAGCGACACCCUGGCACUGGCCUGACGCUCA
rnacentral:rRNA from 1 species